UACGUUCCCGGGCCUUGUACACACCGCCCGUCACGUCACGAAAGUUGGUAACACCCGAAGCCGACGGCCUAACCCCUUGUGGGAGGGAGUUGUCGAAGGUGGGACUGGCGAUUGGGACG
rnacentral:rRNA from 1 species